CAUGCACUCCAUCUGCUCAUCGACAUAGAGGACAACACCCUAUCAAUCAUCACCUCUGCCUGUCCUUCCUAAAGAGCCUGCGUCCUUCUAUUCCAACACUUCAGUCAUAAGAGCCAUCCCACCGCAUCUCCAUAGUGCCAAUGAGGUUAUAGCCCUGCAGGUGUGCUCUUCUCUGGACCUGUGGUCCUUUUCCAGGCUCUGGGCAUCUACUGCUGGCACUGGCAUCAAACUGGGAGGAGUGGGAUGGAUUGAGGUUCCUCUUGCCCAGCAACUUUAGCCCUCUCUCACCAGCUUGGCAAGCCUGUGACCAAAGAUGCUCUUCCCCUCUUCUGACAGAUGGACUCCAUCAGCUCCCAGCAGACCAGGUUUCUUAAAGACAUCAUCUCCUUCAGUAAUGCAUAUGAACUUGGAUAUGAGGAACAGUGUUUUGGUAUUACAAUCCCUGCUCACCUGGACGAGAGCCCAGGACAAAGAAAGAAGAGGAAGAGGAUCUGCGCUGCUCUUUGGAGACAGACCACCAUCCACCUACCAACCUGAUGAGGCAUUUAAAACUCUAGGAUCAUCUCAUCUAUAGCAAGUGUGGAAAAACAAAACAAAAGCAUAACAAAACAAAAUAAAAUAGCCAUCCCUUUGACAAGCAGAUGUGACAGGUUCACUUUGCACAGUAUUUUGUAUUACACCUUUACCCAGCACACAUGCAAUAUAAAGAUUGAUUCAGGUUCUUAAAUCAGAGUUAUUCACCCUGCUUUACAGGUGAAAUUAAUCUUUUCCUUCCUGGGCAGAGACAAAACCUCCAUCCUCAAAGCCAUUGCUGCUGGGCAUUCAGUGUCCUUGGCAGGCCAAUCAGCUGUGAAUAACUAUCACAUCCAACAUAACCUCCUUUCUGCAUGCAAAAAGAAUUGACAGACUUUCUUGUUUUCGGGCAAGCUGAUCGUAAGCAUGCAUUCCCAGCCGUAUCCGUGCAAGCUGGCACUGCCACAGAGGCAUAGUAGCCCACAGCAAAAUCAAACUCCACUGCAGAUUAUGCAAGCCAUCUACAACUGAUCUUUCAGGCUGCUUCUCCCACUGAGACUUGCUUUUAAUAUUACAGUCUAUUGAUUUCCUUCUUGCCUGCACUAUCUUCUCAGCCCUCAGCAUUUAGCGUGGCCAGCAGCUGCUGGGGAUGGGCUCUGAACCUUUGCCUCACCCGGCAGCAGCCUCUGCUUUGCUUUGUUCGGGUACAAUUCCACCUCCCUGCUGGUCUGCAUGUGUCAGGUUUUUCUGACAUCAAAUAAGAGGUGUAAAGGAAGAUUGCCACCAUGCUGCUGCUGCCUCCAUGCCAUCCACACUGAGACCAGGUGCUCUAGCUUCAAUGACUGAUGUCUGGGUGGGAGCAGGUCACCUGUGGCACAGGGACAUGCAGGGCAUGUUGUUUUUGUCUUGUAGGAUUCCCUGCAGUGUUCCCUGUGUUCAGGACAUAAAACAAGUAAAAGCAGCAGCAGAAAAGGAGUUAGCCCCUGGCUCCUCGGGGAAGCAGGAAUUAAUAUUUCCAUUCUCUAAAUGGGAAAACUGAGGCAUGGAAAGUGAUGCAACAUCAAGCAGAAAGGGGACUGAGGUAGAGCUGACUGAACAGCAGAGAAAAACUACAUAUGGAUUUUUCCCGUAGAGCAUCCCUGUUUCCCCUGGUUUUGCUUAUCCUUCAUGCUCCCCAUUGGGAACUCCGCAUCCAGCUCGACACACUCUGUCUUACUCCACGGUGGGUCAUGGAUGUGCCAUUGUUUUCCUUCCAAGUGCCCUGCUUACUUUGCUGCUGUCUGGGUUUCUGGGUGGUGACUGCGUCUUGCAACUGGUGCCUUGCAGAGAUGGGACAUCUUGUGCUUUGGACAUGCUCAAAGCAGCCGUGUCCUCUGCGUGGGCAGCCCAUGUACCCUGCCACUGUCCUUGGCUUUGGGAAAGCAAGUUAGAAAAAAAUGGUUACAUAAAAUGUCACACAUGGAGCUGCACAAAGGCAGCACUGCCUUCUGCUCCCUGUCCCACCCGGCAGUGCCUGUCUCUCCAUCUGUUUGUCCCUUGCCAUUCUGGCUGCCAUACAGAAUGGCAGUGGGGAAGGACACGGCACUGUAGCUACAUAUGAGAGCAGGGCUGGGCUGAUGGGGGUUGCCAGGCUGAAAUAAAAAGAAAGAAGAAAGAGAAAAGUAGUAUUUGUGGCCUGGAGUUAAAGAAGCAGCAGAAGCCCAGCACGGUCAGGCCGGGGCUGCCACUGAAUGCUGCUCCACACGGUCUUCUGGCUUUUUCUCCCAUGAAGGGUAUGUGCCUCUGCCUUCCCACCCACUCUCUUGCAAUUCCCCAGACCUUCUCUGCAGCCCUGUGGAUAUCAGGGGUCCUAACCAUACUAAAGGCACUGCUCUUCUACUGCUAAGGCUCUCUGCAUAGAGUGUUUGGAGACUUUUUUACUUCAAAGUAUUUCUUAACUUUUUUUUUUUUUAAAGAGAAAACUAAAUAUCAUCAUGGUUUAAAUUUCCCUUUUUGGAUUAGAAGACAGAAGUAUUUCUGUCUAUGAAGCAGAAGUAAAUAAAAGCCUUUCUUGUGACCUGCAGCCAUGGACAGCACUGAAGUGCAGCAGCUUUGUUGGGGAGCACAGGACUCAGAUGCUAAGCAGCAUCGUACCUGGAUGUGCAGGGAGGGGGCUGCUGAAAGCUACCUGUGCAAGCUUCCCAU